AAGGAGAGCCAGGAGAACUGGGGACUUAGAAAAUACAGAUCCUAAACUCAAAAGUCCCUGCCCCAGGCGUGCAGAGCCAGGGUCCUGGGGUUUUGUGCUGGGCAGGGGCUGCCCUGGGAGGGGGAAUACAGGGGGAGGCACUUUAGGACACCCCUUAGGCUGUGGAGGGUGUCAGCUGGGCCUUUGAAGCCACUAACCACUGGUUCCCAUCAUGGAGAGCCCUGUGUGGGGCACCCAAGGGGGUUUCCUCCUGGAAGGGCCCCCAACCCAAGUGUCAGAGAAGCUGGCAAGAGCUGAGGGAGUGAGGUGCCAUGACAGCAGCCACAGCCUCCAGGGACCCAAACAGGCCCAGCUACCAGCCUGGCACUGAGCAUGCCAUCUGCUUUAGGCCCUGGCUGGCGGGCAUGUGGGCAACUUGCUCCCUCAGUGCAGGGGGCUGGGAGGCACAGAUGCAGGCUCAGCACUACAAACUCAAAACCCCCAUGAGAGGGCUCAGUCUUAUGGGAAAUGCCUCCAACCGAGCCCCUCUGCCCCAACACACUCUUUGUCUGCCUACUGAAGAAACUUCUGUAAAUAGCAGAGACUUGAGGGACCCCUUCCUGGGGUACGUGUAUUUGUAUUUUUCUGUUUGGGUGUUUGUGUGUCCCAGUGGGACCACCUCCCCAGGGAGACGAGGCAGGUGGGCAGGAGGCCCGGCAGGCGCCAUUACUUCUUCACGAUCUGGAUGACGUCCUCGUGCUCCAUGGUGUGGGUCAGGCCCACCCGCUGCGGACUGUACUUGGUGCUGGUGCCCUGGGUGAGGAAUGGGGGCAGAGGGGUCACCUCAGCCUGGACUGGCCAAGGUCAAGGAAGAUAUCCCUGGGCGUGUGUGUCCUGAAGGGUAAAUGCCAUGGCAUAAGGUGGGGGCCUCAGGCAGCAGGAUGUCCGCAGUUGUCUGACCAUCCCUGAUCUCAAAGGUUGGGGAGGGCCAGGCACAGUGGCUAAUGCCUGUAAUCCCAGCACUUCUGGAGGUCAAGGUGGGAGGAUCACUUGAGCUCAGGUGUUCGAGACAGCCUGGGCCAGAUAGCGAAACCUUGUCUCCAUGAAAAAUUAGCCAGGCAUGGUGGUGUGUGCCUGUAGUCCCAGCUACUUGUGAUGCUGAGGUGGGAGGAUCGCUUUUGCACAGAUGUCGAGGCUGCACUGGGCCAUGAUCGUGCCACUGCACUCCAGCGUGGGAGACAGAGCCAGACCCUGUCUCAAAAAAAAAAAAACAAAAAAAAAAAACACCAGAAAAAAAAAAGGGUGGGGAAGGCCCAUGUCUACCCUGGGUUGGCAUGUACAUUCUAUGGAGGACAGACACACAGACAUGCCAAUCCCCACAGGAAGGACAGGAACACCACGCAGAGAGUGUGAAUGCCUUGCUUCAUGCCUAACCCAGGGGCUGUCCUGGGUCUACCCCCCUGCUUGCUUUCCACCCAGAGACUCACCCACACCAGGGCGUACUUGAACUGGCUGGCGAGUGACCGGUGGAUGCGGUGGCACUGGAGGACAGGAGAGAGUCAGGUAGAGAGGUCUUCCAGGCCCUGGUGGGAGACCCAACGCCUCAGCCCAGCGUCCCUGGGGCGGAGGCCGGCGCCAGGCCUGCAGGAACACUUCCUUGACACAGAUGGGAAGGUGGCUGACCCUGGUCUGCAGAUGGGUUUUGUUUUACUCAGCUUGCCCAGCAUUGCCACUUGUUCCGGGAGCUGAGGAAAUGCAUGUGGUGGAAAGGCCGAGUGGCCAGGCCAGGGCUCCCCUCCUGCACUUACAUACAGGCAGGGCAUGUACACCCGGUUGCCCACGAUCACAUCGAUGAACUCGUCCGGGGAGCAGUCUUCUCGGAAGAGCACUUCUGCAUUGAAGAUCUCUGAGGGGCUCCGAUUAAGGGCAACCUGUGCACCAGCUGCCCUGUCCCCCAUCAGCGGAGGGCCCCAAAAAGCCAAGCAGGAAAUAUGCUGGCCGCGUGGGACUGUGGCGGUAUCUGCUUGUGAGGUUUUACAAGAUUGUAAUGCUUUGGAAGCCCUCUGUUCUCUUCCCCAGAGGGACCACAAUAUAUAAAAGUUUCAAUCAACACAGAGUUUUAAUCUUGACAGCUAGGCAGGGAGAAAAACGUACCUGCUAGAAUCCCCAAAGCCCCUCAGGGGAAGCCUGGGUUUUAGCACCAGGAGCAUCUGAAAGCUGGUCGAACCCAGCUUCUUCCAUGCAGGACUCCACUGGGGGCCAUCCUGCCUCUGCUUGCACACCUCUGGCAACGAGAGGCUCACAGCUGACUCUAAGAGUUCUCUAUAUGCCAGGCAUAACUCUGCCCGA
rnacentral:lncRNA from 1 species